GGGAAUAUUAGUAAUGGGCGAAAGCCUGAACUAGCAACGCCGCGUGUGCGAAGAAGGCCUUCGGGUUGUAAAGCACUUUUUGAGAGGAUGAGGAAGGACGGUACUCUCAGAAUAAGUCUCGGCUAACUACGUGCCAGCAGCCGCGGUAACACGUAGGAGGCGAACGUUAUCCGGAUUUACUGGGCGUAAAGCGCGUGUAGGUGGUUUGGUAAGUAGGGCGUGAAAGCUCCUGGCUCAACUGGGAGAGGCCGUUCUAAACUGCCGAACUAGAGGAUGGUAGAGGGAGGUGGAAUUCCGGGUGUAGCGGUGGAAUGCGCAGAUAUCCGGAGGAACACCAGUGGCGAAAGCGGCCUCCUGGACCAUUCCUGACACUCAGACGCGAAAGCUAGGGUAGCAAACGG
rnacentral:rRNA from 1 species